CCUACGGGAGGCAGCAGUGAGGAAUAUUGGUCAAUGGGCGCGAGCCUGAACCAGCCAAGUAGCGUGAAGGAUGACUGCCCUACGGGUUGUAAACUUCUUUUAUAAAGGAAUAAAGUGAGGCACGUGUGCCUGAUUGUGUGUACUUGAUGAAUAAGGAUCGGCUAACUCCGUGCCAGCCGCCGCGGUAAUACGGAGGAUCCGAGCGUUAUCCGGAUUUAGUGGGUUUAAAGGGAGCGGAGACGGGUUGGUAAGUCAGGUGUGAAAGUUUGCGGCUCAACCGUAAAAUGGCAAUUGAUACUGGCAGUCUUGAGUACAGUUGAGGUAGGCGGAAUUCGUGGUGUAGCGGUGAAAUGCUUAGAUAUCACGAAGAACUCCGAUUGCGAAGGCAGCUUACUAACCUGCCACUGACAUUGAUGCUCGAAAGUGUGGGUAUCAAACAGGAUUAGAUACCCCAGUAGUC
rnacentral:rRNA from 1 species